rnacentral:tRNA from 1 species
ACUAAGGUGGCAGAAUAGUGCAAUAGACUUAAGCUCUAUAUAUAAAUCAAGAUUUCCUUAGUA